rnacentral:rRNA from 1 species
UACGGGGGGGGCAAGCGUUGUUCGGAAUUACUGGGCGUAAAGGGCGCGUAGGUGGCCCGGUGAGUCUUUGGUGAAAGCGCGGGGCUCAACCCUGCGUCGGCCAGGGAUACUGCCGCGGCUCGAGCACUGUAGAGGCAGGCGGAAUUCCGGGUGUAGCGGUGGAAUGCGUAGAGAUCCGGAAGAACACCGGUGGCGAAGGCGGCCUGCUGGGCAGUGGCUGACGCUGAGGCACGAAGGCGUGGGGAGCGAACGGG